AUGCAGGAGGAGAAAGAAGCAUGUCCCAAAGAAGGGGGAGUCAGUCAGUCAAGCUGCUUUGGUUGCCUUAUUUCUGAGCUUGUGGGAAGAGAAGAGCAGGAAAAGAAACUGAGGACCAGAGGGACAGUGACCUGCCUGAAGGGGCUGACCCCACAUGUUAUAUUACCGUGUGCGGAGAACAUUCUGCGGGCGAAUGACUUACAGCACAUGCUUCGUCUUCUGUUCUUUCUAUUAGGGACGUGAUUUAGAAGCCGCCCUCUUUGUGACUUGCCCCAAGAAGGUUCAUCCUCCUCUGGACGUCCUGUGUUGGCGCCCCACUAACGAGGAUCAAGAGUAAUGCCUUCUGGGCUCCCUUCAAACGUUUGGACUUGUAAAAAGCCUCUGCGCUCACCUUUUCUUGUUUAUUGUACACUCGCUACUUCACCACUUGUUGGCUCUUUCUGAAGGGAGUGGUCACAAAUAAGUGAGCAUCUCAUUGGUUUUCACAGAGAAACAAAUUGCAAUUGUAGUGAUGAUGUGUUAAUUCUGUAUUAAGUGCCUUCUUGACCAGGCACCAGUAAAAGGACAUGCAGCUCUCCUGCAUCGCACUGGUGGUGGUGGUGGGGGGGGGGGGGGAAGGGGCUUGAAGGGGGAAGGGGGAAAAUUUGAAUGACUAAUCACAUUGAAGUGUGAAUACCUAGUGGCAGAGCAGCUCCUUGUCAGUGGAAAACAACAUAGCAGUGCUCCCUCCUGUAGGUCCUUGGGAGGCCAGUCGGCAUGAUGGAAAGACACAGGUUUCGUUAAUCCUGGUCCAAUUGCUUGGGAGAGUGACAUACCCACUCUGAACACCUCAUCUGCACAUGAGGGUAAUAGUAAGUACUCCUCGGGGCUAUUGCAAAGAUUAGAUAAAUUUAAGUAUCUGUAAAGAGAAUAAUAAUAAUAAAAAUACUUCCUGUUGGUUUUUCUUUGAAAGA
rnacentral:lncRNA from 12 species